CACGCCGUAAACGAUGAGAACUAGACGUUGGGAGGUUAACCUUUUAGUGUCGCAGCUAACGCGAUAAGUUCUCCGCCUGGGGAGUACGGCCGCAAGGCUAAAAACUCAAAUGAAUUGACGGGGGGCCCGGCACAAGCGGUGGAGCAUGUGGCUUAAUUCGAUGCAACGCGAAAAACCUUACCUGCCCUUGACAUCUACGGAAUCCUGCAGAGAUGCGGGAGUGCCUUCGGGAGCCGUAAGACAG
rnacentral:rRNA from 1 species